rnacentral:rRNA from 1 species
CCCGAGGAAAAGAAAUCAACCGAGAUUCCCCCAGUAGCGGCGAGCGAACGGGGAGGAGCCCAGAGCCUGAAUCAGCAUGUGUGUUAGUGGAAGCGUCUGGAAAGGCGCGCGAUACAGGGUGACAGCCCCGUACACAAAAGCGCAUGUGCUGUGAGCUCGAUGAGUAGGGCGGGACACGUGGUAUCCUGUCUGAAUAUGGGGGGACCAUCCUCCAAGGCUAAAUACUCCUGACUGACCGAUAGUGAACCAGUACCGUGAGGGAAAGGCGAAAAGAACCCCGGCGAGGGGAGUGAAAAAGAACCUGAAACCGUGUACGUACAAGCAGUGGGAGCACCCUUUGGGGUGUGACUGCGUACCUUUUGUAUAAUGGGUCAGCGACUUAUAUUCUGUAGCAAGGUUAACCGAAUAGGGGAGCCGGAGGGAAACCGAGUCUUAACCGGGCGUUAAGUUGCAGGGUAUAGACCCGAAACCCGGUGAUCUAGCCAUGGGCAGGUUGAAGGUUGGGUAACACUAACUGGAGGACCGAACCGACUAAUGUUGAAAAAUUAGCGGAUGACCUGUGGCUGGGGGUGAAAGGCCAAUCAAACCGGGAGAUAGCUGGUUCUCCCCGAAAGCUAUUUAGGUAGCGCCUCGUGAAUUCAUCUCCGGGGGUAGAGCACUGUUUCGGCUAGGGGGCCAUCCCGGCUUACCAACCCGAUGCAAACUGCGAAUACCGGAGAAUGUUAUCACGGGAGACACACGGCGGGUGCUAACGUCCGUCGUGAAGAGGGAAACAACCCAGACCGCCAGCUAAGGUCCCAAAGUCAUGGUUAAGUGGGAAACGAUGUGGGAAGGCCCAGACAGCCAGGAUGUUGGCUUAGAAGCAGCCAUCAUUUAAAGAAAGCGUAAUAGCUCACUGGUCGAGUCGGCCUGCGCGGAAGAUGUAACGGGGCUAAACCAUG